GUACACCAGAGGAGACCUGUUCCGAUUCAUUCAUCGGUCUACCUAAUAUUUGAGCACCUACUGUAUACCAAGGCCAUGCCCCAAAGUAUUUUAUCCAGUUACCAGAUGAUGGAAAUUUCAGUGGUUUCUGGUUUUUGCCUUUGGUGAAUUGUGCUACUGUGAACAUGCAUAUAUAGCACCUGGCCCUGCAGACACAGAGGCUUGAGACCCCCUCACCCCCCGGGAUCUCUCGUUGUCUCUCCUCCACUGCCAACAGUGGGGUGGGCUCCUGAACAAAGCAAAUAUCCUCACCCUGGUGGAGGUAGUGUCUACAUGUGGACAGACAACAGGAAAUCAGUAAGUGAGAUAUCACAAGUACAAGGUGAAAAGUGCUAUGGGGUGGGGGGAGUAGAACGGAGUAGGAAGUUCAGUCUCUCAGUUGUGUUCGGCUCUUUGUGACCCCAUGGACUGCAGCACGCCAGGCUUCCCUGUCCAUCACCAACUCUCGAAGCUUGCUCAAACUCAUUUCCGUCUGGUUGAUGAUGCCAUUCAACCAUCUCAUCCUCUGUCGUCCCCUUCUCCUCCUGCCUUCAAUCUUUCCCAGCAUCAGGGUCUUUUCCAAUGAGUCAGUUCUUCGAAUCAGGUGGCCAAAGUAUUGGAGUUUCAGCUUCAGCAUCAGUCCUUCCAGUGAAUAUUCAGGACUGAUUUCCUUUACAGUAGGGGGGUGGGAAAAGGGAGUGGUCCAUGUGGUCCUAUGGGAAAGGUGGGCUUUGAGCAGUUCUGAAGAAGGAAAUGGGGUCACUGAGCAGACAUCUGGUGGAAAGGCAUUCCAGGCAGAGGGCAUUGUAUGGGCAAAGGCCCAGGGGGACUGCAUCAAGCUUAUCAGAGCGACCGUGGUGAGGAGGCCGGUGUUGGAGCAGAAAGAGUGAGGGAGGAGGGGAGAGCAGGGAGGGGAACCAGGCAGGUCAUACAGGGCCUUGAGAGCCUAGGGGAAGACUUGGACUUUUACCCAAGGGAGGUGGGAGCCCUGGGGGCUGUGCGCAGAGAAAGGAAACCUGACUCAGGUGCUCACGGGCGCUCCCCUGGUGGCUAUUGUGGGCGGCUGUGGGUGCACCAAGCAGGGGGAGGCUGGACUGGUUCAGCAGGCAUACAAUACAGGAGCGGCCAGACGACUGGACACAGGAGUGCUGCGGGGUACACUCGGGAGGAACCCUGUAGAGCAGUGUAGAGAAGUGCGGGAUCCCCGCGCCCGCGGCGCCGGAGAGGGGCGGGCAGCAGACGCCCCCGGACGCCAUGUCACCGUGCCUCAGUUGCCGGGUAACGAAGCUGGAAGGCGGGCCGGGGGCUCAGAUGCCCGAGGUGUGGGUGCCUCUGGUCUGCAGCGCAAGCUGAAGAGGGCAGCCCCCUCCUCCGGCUUUAGGGCUAAGGGGCGUUGCCAAGACCGCCUGCAGGUCCGCGGAUUCACCAGCCCACUGGCUCAGUUCCCGCAAGAGGAGGCUGAGGACCCACAUUGGCAAGCGGGACAGAGUCCCAGGAGGCCCACCACCUUGAACCGGCGAAGAGAAAAACCACACAGUCUCCGGAAUCGGGUUUAAAAAAGACUUGUUUAAUUAAAUACCAGGAUGAGGCCAGGCAGGACAGGGGGGAGGGAGUCACCCGAAAGCAAAGUCCCUUGGGGCCCUCCCCGUCCACCCACCUCUAGAGGCCACAGUUAAAUGGCUGGAACCAGGUCCAGGUGAACACCGGUCCCUUCAGGCCCCCGGACACUGGGGAGGGGCGGAGGGGCAAGUUCUCAGCUCCCUGGGUCCUCAGACCACAGUCCACCUCCUGUGGACAAGCACCGGCCAGCGCUGGGACAAUAUGGGGAGGGGCAUCCAGAUGGACACAAAGGGAAACAAGGUUAGGCCCGCCCCACCCCUC
ensembl:lncRNA